AGAGUUUGAUCCUGGCUCAGGAUGAACGCUAGCGACAGGCUUAACACAUGCAAGUCGCGGGGCAGCGGGGGUGAAGCUUGCUUCACCUGCCGGCGACCGGCGCACGGGUGAGUAACACGUAUGCAAUCUGCCCUUCACAGCGGGAUAAUCGGGAGAAAUUCCGUCUAAUACCACAUAACACCCCCGGGGGACAUCCCCCGAGGGUCAAAGGAGCGAUCCGGUGAAGGAUGAGCAUGCGGCGCAUUAGCUGGUUGGCGGGGUAACGGCCCACCAAGGCGACGAUGCGUAGGGGUUCUGAGAGGAAGGUCCCCCACACUGGUACUGAGACACGGACCAGACUCCUACGGGAGGCAGCAGUGAGGAAUAUUGGUCAAUGGGCGAGAGCCUGAACCAGCCAAGUCGCGUGAGGGAAGACGGUCCUAAGGAUUGUAAACCUCUUUUGUCGGGGAGCAAGAAAGGGUAUGCAUACCCUACUGAGAGUACCCGAAGAAAAAGCAUCGGCUAACUCCGUGCCAGCAGCCGCGGUAAUACGGAGGAUGCGAGCGUUAUCCGGAUUUAUUGGGUUUAAAGGGUGCGCAGGCGGGCUGUCAAGUCAGCGGUAAAAUAGCGGGGCUCAACCCCGUCGAGCCGUUGAAACUGGCAGCCUAGAGUGGGCGAGAAGUAUGCGGAAUGCGUGGUGUAGCGGUGAAAUGCAUAGAUAUCACGCAGAACUCCGAUUGCGAAGGCAGCAUACCGGCGCCCGACUGACGCUCAUGCACGAAAGCGUGGGGAUCGAACAGGAUUAGAUACCCUGGUAGUCCACGCAGUAAACGAUGAAUACUAAUUGUUCGGCGCGAAUGAGCGCUGAGUGAUACAGCGAAAGCGUUAAGUAUUCCACCUGGGGAGUACGCCGGCAACGGUGAAAC
rnacentral:rRNA from 1 species